AUCUAAUGAUGGUGGACGCAGGAGUGUGAAGGUAGAUUGUAAAGUAGCUCUGAACCAAAGUUGAGCUACAUUCGGUCACUCGAGUAUAUUCAUCAUCUCUCUGAAUGACAACUUUAGAAAUCUUCCUAUCUCUAUCAAGUUCACCGUCCCUAUGUCGAAGAACACAGUGAAAAGUAUAAAGAGAAAAGGUAAUGAAGGUAGAAUAGCAGCGGGGGCACCGGCGUGAUGAUGUUAAGCUGUAAGAUCAUCAAUGGAAACAUGUAUCACUGCAUCUAACAGUAUAUUGCCACUGUAGUAUGUUUCCUGAGACUUCAUCCUGUCUGCUCAUGAGAAAUGUAAGUUGAAUAAAAAAGUGAGG
rnacentral:lncRNA from 1 species